GACAACCUCCAAAAGCAACACGAGGGGUUUUGGAUAACUCCGAAAAGAGGACUUUAAAACCAUGUAAUGAACCUCGAAAUUCAAUUUAUAAAUCCGGGACAUACUUCUGUGUCAUACAUUUGGAAAACAACUCUUUUUCAUUUUGGACGUUUUGUUCGAAACGCGUAUGAACACCAGUGAUGGACAUAUUUUUGACUAUAUUUUAUGUUCUUGACAUGGGCGGGUUAUUGCGCAGACUAUGGGGGAUGUGGAGAAUGCAUGUCGAACAUCUUUGAAGUAUUGUUUCAAAUUAUUGGACCAUUUUGACAACAUUUUUGCAGCGGAGUUAAAACAACAUCCCGCUGAUUAGAAUAACAUCCUACAGCUAUCGGUUGCCUAAUGGAUCUCAGUCAGAUCAAAUGAAACUGUUACAUCUGAUUUGUCAAGAGCGACUCCAGCAAUUUGCAGCCUUCGGAUUUUAACAGUUUAGCAUGGAUCUUUUGAGAUUUGCCAGACAUUGUAUGUACAUUGCAUGGCUUGGCUUCUUAUGGAGGAGUGCAGCAGAUCAGCCCAGCCUGACAGACCACCUGCAGUCUGCCAAUGGACUAUCUGAACUGUGUGGUAUCGAUGAGCUUCUUUGUCAUGAUGAAAAUGCUCUGUUAAGUUUCGAGGCCAUCCGCAACAUUCACAAAGACAUGGAUGAUGAUGCAGACGGCAGCGUGGAUGUGACAGAGACGGAUGGG